UGGAAAAUGAACGAAGCAUUAACCUGCUG
rnacentral:piRNA from 1 species